CCAGACUCCUACGGGAGGCAGCAGUGAGGAAUAUUGGUCAAUGGACGAGAGUCUGAACCAGCCAAGUAGCGUGAAGGAUGACUGCCCUAUGGGUUGUAAACUUCUUUUAUAUGGGAAUAAAACAGGGUAUGCAUACCCUCUUGUAUGUACCAUAUGAAUAAGGAUCGGCUAACUCCGUGCCAGCAGCCGCGGUAAUACGGAGGAUGCGAGCGUUAUCCGGAUUUAUUGGGUUUAAAGGGUGCGUAGGCGGGACCUUAAGUCAGCGGUAAAAUUGCGGUGCUCAACGCCGUAGAGCCGUUGAAACUGGGGUUCUUGAGUGAGCGAGAAGUAUGCGGAAUGCGUGGUGUAGCGGUGAAAUGCAUAGAUAUCACGCAGAACCCCGAUUGCGAAGGCAGCAUACCGGCGCUCAACUGACGCUGAGGCACGAAAGUGCGGGUAUCGAACAGGAUUAGAUACCCCAGUA
rnacentral:rRNA from 1 species